UACGAAGGGGGCUAGCGUUGCUCGGAAUCACUGGGCGUAAAGGGUGCGUAGGCGGGUCUUUAAGUCAGGGGUGAAAUCCUGGAGCUCAACUUCAGAACUGCCUUUGAUACUGAGGGCCUUGAGACCGGAAGAGGUCGGCGGAACUGCGAGUGUAGAGGUGAAAUUCGUAGAUAUUCGCAAGAACACCAGUGGCGAAGGCGGCCGACUGGUCCGGUUCUGACGCUGAGGCGCGAAAGCGUGGGGAGCAAACAGG
rnacentral:rRNA from 1 species